rnacentral:rRNA from 1 species
CCUACGGGUGGCAGCAGUGGGGAAUAUUGCACAAUGGGGGAAACCCUGAUCCAGCGACGCCGCGUGAGUGAAGAAGUAUUUCGGUACGUAAAGCUCUAUCAGCAGGGAAGAAAAAAAGUCCUUUGGACUUUGGACGGUACCUGACCAAGAAGCCCCGGCUAACUACGUGCCAGCAGCCGCGGUAAUACGUAGGGGGCAAGCGUUAUCCGGAUUUACUGGGUGUAAAGGGAGGGUAGACGGCAGCGCAAGUCUGGAGUGAAAUGCCGGGGCCCAACCCCGGAACUGCUUUGGAAACUGUGCAGCUGGAGUGCAGGAGCGGUAAGCGGAAUUCCUAGUGUAGCGGUGAAAUGCGUAGAUAUUAGGAGGAACACCAGUGGCGAAGGCGGCUUACUGGACUGUAACUGACGUUGAGGCUCGAAAGCGUGGGGAGCAAACAGGAUUAGAUACCCGGGUAGUC